UGACACCACAGAGAGUUCUUCACUGUCAGU
rnacentral:piRNA from 1 species